rnacentral:rRNA from 1 species
AACGAACGCUGGCGGCAUGCCUAACACAUGCAAGUCGAACGAGACCUUCGGGUCUAGUGGCGCACGGGGGCGUAAAGCGUGGGAACCUGCCCUUAGGUUCGGAAUAACUCCCCGAAAGGGGUGCUAAUACCGGAUAAUGUCUUCGGACCAAAGAUUUAUCGCGUUUGGAUGGGCCCGCGUUGGAUUAGCUCGUUGGUAGGGUAAAAGCCUACCCAGGCGACGAUCCAUAGCUGGUCUGAGAGGAUGCUCAGCCACACUGGGACUGAGACACGGCCCAGACUCCUACGGGACGCCGCAGUGGGGAAUAUUGGACAGUGGGCGAGAGCCUGAUCCAGCAAUGCCGCGUGAGUGAUGAAGGCCUUAGUGUUGUAAAGCUCUUUUACCCGGGAUGAUAAUGACGGUACCGGGAGAAUAAGCACCGGCUAACUCCGUG